UACGGAGGAUGCGAGCGUUAUCCGGAUUUAUUGGGUUUAAAGGGUGCGUAGGCGGAUCGUUAAGUCAGUGGUCAAAUUGAGGGGCUCAACCCCUUCCCGCCAUUGAAACUGGCGAUCUUGAGUGGAAGAGAAGUAUGCGGAAUGCGUGGUGUAGCGGUGAAAUGCAUGGAUAUCACGCAGAACCCCGAUUGCGAAGGCAGCAUGCCGGCUUCCGACUGACGCUGAAGCACGAAAGCGUGGGGAUCGAACAGG
rnacentral:rRNA from 1 species